rnacentral:rRNA from 1 species
GACGAACGCUGGCGGCGUGCUUAACACAUGCAAGUCGAACGGAAAGGCCCCUUUCGGGGGGUACUCGAGUGGCGCACGGGUGAGUAACACGUGUGUAGCCUGCCCUUGACUUUGGGGUAUCUUCUGGAAACAGUGGCUCAUACCGCAUAGGAGCUCCUCCUCUAUGGGGGGGGUUGGAGAGUUUCGGGGGUUGGGGGUGGGGUCGCGGCUUAUCAGCUCGUUGGUGGGGUAGUGGCUUACCAAGGCUUUGACGGGUAGCCGGGCUGGGAGGGUGACCGGGCACAUUGGGACUGGGGUACGGCCCAGGCUCCUACGGGGGGGAAGAGUGGGGAAUAUUGGACAAUGGGUGGAAGCCUGAGGCAGCAACGCCGUGGGCGGGAUGACGGCCUUCGGGUUGUAAACCGCUUUCGCUCAGGACGAAGGUUUGUGUGACGGUAGUGGGUAAAGAAGCACCGGCUAACUACGUG